rnacentral:rRNA from 1 species
UACGUAGGCAGCGAGCGUUGUUCGGAAUUACUGGGCGUAAAGAGUGUGUAGGCGGUGCUCUAAGUUCGGUGUGAAAUCUCCUGGCUUAACUGGGAGGGUGCGCCGGAAACUGGAGUGCUUGAACGUGGGAGAGGAAAGCGGAAUUCCUGGUGUAGCGGUGAAAUGCGUAGAUAUCAGGAGGAACACCUGCGGUGUAGACGGCUUUCUGGACCAUUGUUGACGCUGAGACACGAAAGCGUGGGUAGCAAACAGG